rnacentral:rRNA from 1 species
UACGGGAGGGGGCGAGCGUUAUUCGGAAUUAUUGGGCGUAAAGGGCGCGUAGGCGGCUUGAUAAGUCAAAGGUGAAAUCCCUCGGCUCAACUGAGGAACUGCCUUUGAAACUGCCAAGCUCGGAGGCCGGGAGGGGGUAGCGGAAUUCCCAGUGUAGCGGUGAAAUGCGCAGAUAUCAGGAGGAACACCAAUUGCGAAGGCAGCUCGCUGGGACGUUACUGACGCUGAGACGCGAAAGCGUGGGGAGCAAACAGG